AACGAACGCUGGCGGCAGGCCUAACACAUGCAAGUCGAGCGAAGCCUUCGGGCUUAGCGGCGGACGGGUGAGUAACGCGUGGGAACGUGCCCUUUGGUACGGAAUAGCCCCGGGAAACUGGGAGUAAUACCGUAUGUGGUCGAGAGACGAAAGAUUUAUCGCCAAAGGAUCGGCCCGCGUUGGAUUAGGUAGUUGGUGGGGUAAUGGCCUACCAAGCCGACGAUCCAUAGCUGGUUUGAGAGGAUGAUCAGCCACACUGGGACUGAGACACGGCCCAGACUCCUACGGGAGGCAGCAGUGGGGAAUCUUAGACAAUGGGGGAAACCCUGAUCUAGCCAUGCCGCGUGAUCGAUGAAGGCCUUAGGGUUGUAAAGAUCUUUCAGUGGGGAAGAUAAUGACGGUACCAGCAGAAGAAGCCCCGGCUAACUCCGUGCCAGCAGCCGCCGUAAGAC
rnacentral:rRNA from 1 species